CUGAAGUGAGUCUUCAAUCAUUGAAGCUUCUUCCCAUUGUGCUGGCUUUGACCGUAUGUAAUGUUGGGGAUUAAACAUGGUUGAGAGAAAUCUUGGCCGUCCCCAACAAAUUAUCUUAUCCUUUAUUAAAUUGAACUGAACUCAUUUUGAGAUUACAUAAAAAAAAAUAA
rnacentral:misc_RNA from 1 species